ACGUAGGGGGCAAGCGUUAUCCGGAUUUACUGGGUGUAAAGGGAGCGUAGACGGUAAAGCAAGUCUGAAGUGAAAGCCCGGGGCUCAACCCCGGGACUGCUUUGGAAACUGUUUAACUAGAGUGCUGGAGAGGUAGGCGGAAUUCCUAGUGUAGCGGUGAAAUGCGUAGAUAUUAGGAGGAACACCAGUGGCGAAGGCGGCUUACUGGACAGUAACUGACGUUGAGGCUCGAAAGCGUGGGGAGCAAACAG
rnacentral:rRNA from 1 species